AAGAUAUAUUUAGAAGGGGUCUAAAGUUUCUUAGUAAAGCUUCUAGGACAAAUCGAGAGCUUAUUGCAUUGCACGUAAUAUUUUUUUUUUUUUUUUCCUUUCUGGCACAUAGCUAGACAAUUAUUCUCUGUGGGUCCUCAAGGACUCUUGCAGUUCCAAGAGCCUGUGAAACAGUCUCAGGCUUUAUGGCACCUUUGAAGAAACAAAAGCUUUACAGAGAAAAGGCUGGUUUGGCAGGGGAGGCUCGCGGCUCCCUUCAGCUCACUUUACUGUCUUCCUGGCGCUUUUCUUUUUAGACAAAAAAGCACUUAAAGGGGCUUUGUUGGAUCCACGACUCGGCGGUGCAAAUCUUCAACUGUUUCCUUUUGGAGGAUCAGAUUUACAGUUUUCUCCUGCCUGUUUCUUUAUGGUGAGACAUUUGAAAUCCACAGGCAGACUGAGCCAACUGGGCAGAAAGUUUGGAAUUCUGAAAUGCUGCCGAAUUGUCAGGGACCAGCCUAGCUAAUUUGCUGAUUUACUGAACUUGACCCAAAAGAAUUUCUGUGUACACAAAAAUUUAUGAAGAAGUCUUUGAAUAAUUGUAUUAAAUGAGAUUCUGGGCCUUUAUUUUCCAUUUUAUUACCUUUUCUGAACACUGUGGAUUCCAAUCAUAUUGAAACAUUUUGUGUUCAGGCUUUGUAGCAAGUGCUGAUGGUUGAACCUCAAAAGAAUUGAAGGGUUAGUUCAUAAAUGAAUAAAAAGCCAGCGGCAUUUAUCCA
rnacentral:lncRNA from 1 species